UGCGCCUGCGGGGGGCAAGGCACGGACUUUUGACGUUUUAAAGCGGCGGCUUUGCAGGCAGCGUGUCCGUGUACGGCCCGGUACAUUCAGGAACUUCCUGAAUUUAAUUUCUUU
rnacentral:sRNA from 1 species